GCCAGGGUGGCGUAACCGGUAGGCGCGCGAGACUUAAAAUCUUGUGGAGGUAACUCCGUACGGGUUCGAUUCCCGUCCCUGGUACAA
rnacentral:tRNA from 1 species